AGAGUUUGAUCCUGGCUCAGGAUGAACGCUGGCGGCGUGGAUAAGGCAUGCAAGUCAAACGGUCAGACGCUUGCGUCUGAUAGUGGCGAACGGGUUAGUAACACGUAGGAAUUUACCCUGAAGACCGGAAUAAUCCCGCGAAAGCGGGACUAAUACCGGAUGGUCCCCGCCUUGGCGGGGUAAAGUAUUGCUUCGGCAAUUUCGCUUCAGGAGAAGCCUGCGUCCUAUCAGCUUGUUGGUGAGGUAAUGGCCCACCAAGGCAAUGACGGGUAGGGGAGGUGAGAGCCUGACCCCCAACAAUGGAACUGAGAUACGGUCCAUACACCUACGGGUGGCUGCAGUCGAGAAUCUUCCACAAUGGGCGAAAGCCUAAUGGAGCGACGCCGCGUGAGUGAAGAAUCCCUUCGGGGUGUAAAACUCUUUUCUGGAGGAACAAGUCGUGUUGCUUUGCGACACGAUUGAGCGUACUUCAGGAAUAAGGGGUGGCUAACUUCGUGCCAGAAGCCUCGGUAAUACGAAGGCCCCAAGCGUUAUCCGGAAUCACUGGGCGUAAAGCGUAGGUAGGCGGUUUUAAUAGUGGCUGGUUAAAUUCCGAAGCUCAACUUCGGAGCAGCCAGCUAAACGUUAAGACUAGAGCAAGUAAGAGGCUGAUGGAACUUACCAAGUAGGGGUGAAAUCCGUUGAUAUGGUAGGGAACACCAAAGGCGAAGGCAAUCAGCUGGCGCUUGGCUGACGCUGAUCUACGAAAGCGUGGGGAGAGAAGAGGAUUAGAUACCCUCGUAUUCCACGCCGUAAACGAUGCCAACUAGCCGUUCGAAGUAUCGACCCUUCGAGUGGCGAAGCUAACGCGUUAAGUUGGCCGCCUGGGAAGUACGGCCGCAAGGCUAAAACUCAAAUGAAUUGACGG
rnacentral:rRNA from 1 species